rnacentral:rRNA from 1 species
UACAGAGGGCUCAAGCGUUAAUCGGAAUCACUGGGCUUAAAGGGUGCGUAGGCGGACCCGUCAGUGUCUUGUGAAAUCCCACGGCUUAACCGUGGAACUGCAGGGCAUACUACGGGUCUUGAACCCGGCAGGGGCAACCGGAACUCUAGGUGGAGCGGUGAAAUGCGUAGAUAUCUAGAGGAACGCCAAAGGCGAAGGCAGGUUGCUGGGCCGGUGUUGACGCUCAGGCACGAAAGCGUGGGGAGCGAACGGGAUUAGAUACCCCGGUAGUCCACGCCCUAAACGAUGUGUACUAGAUCGAGGUGGUUUUGACGCCGUCUCGGUCGGAGCAAAAGUAUUAAGUACACCGCCUGGGGAGUACGGUCGCAAGGCUAAA